CCCCUAGUAACGGCGAGUGAACGGGGAAAAGCCCAACACCGAAUCCCUCAGCGCAAGUUGACGGGAAAUGUGGUGUUAAGGUGGCCCUUCGUGCUGAAUCAGGUGUCUUAAGUCCACCUGAUUGUGGCUCAAGCCCAGAGAGGGUGUAAGGCCCGUAGAGGCACUUGAUUCAGUACCCGGGGUUUACCUACGAGUCGGCUUGUUUGGGAAUGCAGGCCAAAGCGGGUGGUAAACUCCAUCCAAGGCUAAAUACUGGCACGAGUCCGAUAGCGGACAAGUACCGUGAGGGAAAGUUGAAAAGAACUUUGAAGAGAGAGUUCAAUAGUACGUGAAACCGCUUAGAGGCAAACGGAUGGUGCUCAAAUUGGUGCAGGGGAUUCAGCUGUUGUAAUUUGUCGAGUGUGUGGUCGUGUAUAGAUCCUAUAAUCUGGGACUAGCGGCUGCUAUUCAUGUUGGCUAUUACACGGUGCACUUUCCCUGUUUUCACCUUCGCCACGACCGACGAAACUGGCCACCCACGGCUGGGGUAAGGUGGCAAGCUACUUCGGUAGUUUGUUUUAUAGACCCUGGCGUUGGAUAUUGUUUGGGCAGGACGUCGGAGUUCUAGCGGUGUCCGCUCGCACUCUGCGGGCUCGUAUGUCAGCUAGCUUGGCUGCGCCGAUGCCAGUACUGGUAACCAGUACUGGUGUUGGUUGUGGUCUUGUCUUCUAAUUGGCCUCUACGAGUUUGACACCUAUAGUCUGUGGUGUACUAGUGGGUAGACUAUCCGACCCGUCUUGAAACACGGACCAAGGAGUCUAACAUGUGCGCGAGUCAUGGGGACUCUACGAAACCCAAAGGCGUAGUGAAAGUAAAGGCUUGCUUCUCGCAGGCUUAGGUGAGAUCUCGUGCAUUAUGAUUGGCGAGCGCAUCACCGGCCCGUCCUAUCUGUCUCUGUCAGUGGGGCGGCGCAAGAGCGUACACGUUGGGACCCGAAAGAUGGUGAACUAUGCUUGCGCAGCUCGAAGUCAGUGGAAACACUGAUGGAGGAGCGCAGCGUUUCUGACGUGCAAAUCGAUCGUCAAACGUGAGUAUAGGGGCGAAAGACUAAUCG
rnacentral:rRNA from 1 species